UUACUAAUAUAUGCAGGUGAGAUUCAUUUCCAAUCUAGUGAUAUACUGUGUAUAUAAGAAUGUGCUUCGUAUUUUGCUUAUACUUGGUGAAUUUUUCAAUUUUUAUACAGCCUUGGGAAAGUGAGUUCAUAUAUUCACAGCGGGUAUGGGCUGAAAAUCCUCUUAAGAGGCAGGAAGCUCAGGCCAGAAAGAACUGAGCUUGUCGGUUGGUGACUAUGUCAUUGUGCGAAACCUAUUUUUUAUUUUCUUGAGGCAACUUUCUCUAUUUUUUAUUUUCAAGUUUGCAGUCAUAACCUUGGGAAGUAGUUGUAGACUAUGUUUGUAUGUGAAAUCUUAAAGGUUUUCAAAAGGGCUUGCUCAUGUUGAUUACAUGCUCAACCAUUUUCUAGAGGUAUGUUGUUUUUAUUGCAAUACUUUUCUGACAUUCAUAAUGCUCAUACUUCUAUUCUGUUAGUUUAGGUGACUCCUUUUCAUGGCAAUUAUACUUCUGGCUAUCGCUGUAGUGAAGCAAGCAUUGGACGUUGACCCUACAAACUUAGAGAUGCUUCAUGCACUUGGUGUGAGUCAUGCAAAUGGUCAGUUGUUGCUUCCUUAUCUAAUUACAUGUUGUAUAUGAUGUAUAUUCACUAAAAGCAAUUUUUCUAACAUAGAGUCUUUGGAGUUGUUUGGGUUCAGAGUUGCCGUAGUUUGUGGUUAUUGUAAUUUGUGGGAUUAUAUAAUAGUUUUGUGGAGUUAGAAUAGUUUGACUUUGGGGUGUAGGCUAUUUUAGUCUGACUAUAUAGUUUGUGUUUGUGGUGAAGAUUUAGUCAUUGGUGGUUGGUUCAUUGUACUGUAACUUGCCUGUUCAAGGCUCUUUGGCAUUGGCUUUCUUGAUGGAGCAAUAAAGGUGUUGUAGAAUUGCUCUUCAUCACAAUUCUCAGAGGAUAUGAUGUAUGUAUAUCUAAAAGGUAGGUGUAGGAAAUAUUUUUCAUGUAACAACCAACAGGAUGCCAUAUUUAUUAUUUAUUCACAAAGUUCAUUGUUGUUUCUAGUUUGUUGCCAUAUUUUUCAGUCAGGUUAUGGCAAGGAGGAAAUACCGCUGGCCCUGGUGUGGUGUUUUUUCUUUUGAAGAUUAAAAAAAAAAAUCUUUGUGAUAUGUGGUUUGCUUGCUUUGAACGACCUUUUUUUCUCUUAAAUAAGUUGGUUUCUGUUUUUUACAUUUUUGUUUUGUUUGUGAUAUGGAUACUUAGUUACGUAGGUUUCGGUUGCGAGACUUGCAAUUAUAACUAGGUCAUAAAAUUGUUACUUAUCAAUUCAACCAUCUUGAUGUCUUUUACAGGGAGAUAUCACUAAACAAAUGACUGCAAUAGAAGAAAUGGUUGCAAGUGAGUACAAUUAGCCAGACCCUUAUCUUUGUGACAAGAUCUUGAAGAUGGUCAUUUGUGAAGCGUUCUAGUUUGCUAUUAGUUGCAAUUUUAGUUAUUGCUCUCUCAAUAUAUUCUUUUUCUUUCUUUCUUUCUUUUUUUCCAAAGGAUGAUCAAUGUAUAAUAAUUAAGCUUCAUAACUUCUUUGUAUUUGGAGCCAAGUUGUAUAUAAAUGUACACAUUAUUAAGAUUUCAUUUUGUAUAUGUACAAGUAAAAGAUUUCAUUUUUAA